AUAAGGUCAAUAGCUUAAGGGUUGACCCAGCAAUUGGGGGGAAUGUAUAGGGAAAACUGGUAAAAUCACUUGUACCUAGUAAUAAAUCUAAUUAAUAUGAGAUUAACUAAGUUAAUUAAAAUUCUAAUAGAUAUUUGAUUAUGACAUAUCUGUAUAGGUCUUGACCAAGUCACGUGCCAGCAGUCGCGGUAAUACCCCCUUGACAACACAUAUUCAUCUUUAUUGGGUUUCCCUUUUACCUAGACGGUUAAUUAAGCAAUUAAUGUACUAAUUAACUAGAKUUUAAUGUAAAAGGUUGAGUACUGUGAGAGGAGAGAUAAAAUUCUUUGAUACCGACRGAACUGGGUUAAGGGAAAGGUACCCUCCAUGGUUUAACCGACCUUUAAGG
rnacentral:rRNA from 1 species